CAGCAGCCACGGUAAUACGUAGGGUGCAAGCGUUAAUCGGAAUUACUGGGCGUAAAGCGUGCGCAGGCGGUUAUAUAAGACAGAUGUGAAAUCCCCGGGCUCAACCUGGGAACUGCAUUUGUGACUGUAUAGCUAGAGUACGGCAGAGGGGGAUGGAAUUCCGCGUGUAGCAGUGAAAUGCGUAGAUAUGCGGAGGAACACCGAUGGCGAAGGCAAUCCCCUGGGCCUGUACUGACGCUCAUGCACGAAAGCGUGGGGAGCAAACAGGAUUAGAUACCCGAGUAGUCCCUGUCUCUUAUAA
rnacentral:rRNA from 1 species